GUCGAACGGUAACAGGAAGCAGCUUGCUGCUUCGCUGACGAGUGGCGGACGGGUGAGUAAUGUCUGGGAAACUGCCUGAUGGGGGGGGAUAACUACUGGAAACGGUAGCUAAUACCGCAUAACGUCGCAAGACCAAAGAGGGGGACCUUCGGGCCUCUUGCCAUCGGAUGUGCCCAGAUGGGAUUAGCUAGUAGGUGGGGUAACGGCUCACCUAGGCGACGAUCCCUAGCUGGUCUGAGAGGAUGACCAGCCACACUGGAACUGAGACACGGUCCAGACUCCUACGGGAGGCAGCAGUGGGGAAUAUUGCACAAUGGGCGCAAGCCUGAUGCAGCCAUGCCGCGUGUAUGAAGAAGGCCUUCGGGUUGUAAAGUACUUUCAGCGGGGAGGAAGGCGGUGAGGUUAAUAACCUCAUCGAUUGACGUUACCCGCAGAAGAAGCACCGGCUAACUCCGUGCCAGCAGCCGCGGUAAUACGGAGGGUGCAAGCGUUAAUCGGAAUUACUGGGCGUAAAGCGCACGCAGGCGGUCUGUCAAGUCGGAUGUGAAAUCCCCGGGCUCAACCUGGGAACUG
rnacentral:rRNA from 1 species